rnacentral:rRNA from 1 species
AUUGAACGCUGGCGGCAGGCUUAACACAUGCAAGUCGAGCGGAGAUGAGGUGCUUGCACCUUAUCUUAGCGGCGGACGGGUGAGUAAUGCUUAGGAAUCUGCCUAUUAGUGGGGGACAACAUUCCGAAAGGAAUGCUAAUACCGCAUACGUCCUACGGGAGAAAGCAGGGGAUCUUCGGACCUUGCGCUAAUAGAUGAGCCUACGUCGGAUUAGCUAGUUGGUGGGGUAAAGGCCUACCAAGGCGACGAUCUGUAGCGGGUCUGAGAGGAUGAUCCGCCACACUGGGACUGAGACACGGCCCAGACUCCUACGGGAGGCAGCAGUGGGGAAUAUUGGACAAUGGAGGGAACCCUGACCCAGCCAUGCCGCGUGUGUGAAGAAGGCCUUAUGGUUGUAAAGCACUUUAAGCGAGGAGGAGGCUACUGAGACUAAUACUCUUGGAUAGUGGACGUUACUCGCAGAAUAAGCACCGGCUAACUCUGUGCCAGCAGCCGCCGUAACAC